rnacentral:telomerase_RNA from 1 species
UUGCCUCUCAGGCAACUCCCUCGCACGACGCCUUCCCUACAGUUGCCCGAUCCUUCUUUUCUGCAAGGAAUGUCCUCGGACCCCUCCCCAAGGCUGGUUGCCCACGAUAUGCCGUCCCGAGCCUGUAACAGGACCUCGUCGGACGUUGCAAGCUGGAUCUAUCGUGUUCUCUUGUUGUCGGCUUCUAGACGACCCAGCCAUGUCGAGGGAAGAAGGUUCGGAACUUAACCCUACGAUUUCUCCGGUUUCAGUCUUGCGCCCAGUCGUUCAACCCGCCUUUUAAGUUUUCUCAAUGUGCUGCUCGGAGGCAUUCCCAUUGAAAAAUGGGAAUAGCGAUGGGCGAUGCUGAGGAAGACCGAAGGACGGUGAGAACUUUCCAGUCACCUUUGGGUGUGUGAAAGGGAUGGGCCAUGAGUCAUUUGGUAAGAGCCUCUGGUCUGAGGACGCUCGUCAGCUCGGAACGCUGGAACCUGGACGUCGGCCAUGAUUAAACUAUCCCGGAGGUGUGAUCAGCUGGAGGACGCAUGCCGUUGUCACCCUGCCAUUGGCUCGACCGCUGUGUCGUAUCGCCGGCCAGAUCCGAGAGUUGGGCACAAAUCUCGCUCCGUACAAUCAAUCUUGACAGCAUUUCACCACGCAUCCUUGACCUCGUCUUGCCUGAACCGCUUUGCUCAGCUCAGCGGCGCAAGGGUCUUUGGGCUCCAUACAGAAAUGCUGCAAUAGCUUGAUCAUCAUGCGAAACUGCAAAGCCUUCGGUCCUCUCGGGUCUGACUUUUCACUGGGUAUUUCAUCAGUGGUAGUUUGACAAUAGCUUGUCGUGCUUGCUCAGUCCGCUCCAGGGACACACCACAGCGAAUGCUCCAUGUGUGUGAUGCAGUAGCAUCUAGUUUGGCCAGGCGCAUUAGCUCUCCGUCGUUUGCUCCGUCCAACGAGCAGGAGGGACGCCGGUACCUGCUAUGCUUCUCGAUAGAACAUGGCGUUUCCUCUAGUAUUCUCCUGCAAAGGAAGGAUUUGAGAUGACAGUGCGAUUUUUUUGGAUGUUUUUUGUUUGCACGUCAAUGCCCCCCUAAGGCUCGCUGAAGUGAGACCGUUGGGGAGGACACAAAAACUAGUCCUUGUUGGCAGUGCGCCACAUACAGGAGGAGUCCUGGUUGAUCGGAUGCGGCUGCUUGGAUCUCAAUCUUCAGCAUGAUCAUCUGCCUGUCGAUGACGGUAUCCUAUCUCAGCUUGUUUGAUUGCGCGUCUGCGGGAAGUGUUCUUGUUUCUGUUGGAAGCAGGGCCGGGACCCAUCUCGAGUUGGAGUCAAAGAUUCGUUCUUGUCCGGUGCUGCGGGCAACAAGAACGUCGGAAUACCCCCCCCCCCCCAGCGUGCAUCCUACCUGCGAGUAUUUGCGAUAUUAGGAUUAAGGGCAGGCCAAGUGUUGGUAGUCCUGGGUUGCCUUUGUACCAGAAAUGGUACAAGGGCGGCCCCCCCAAUCUGAGG